GACGAACGCUGGCGGCGUGCUUAACACAUGCAAGUCGAACGGAAAGGCCCUGCUUUUGUGGGGUGCUCGAGUGGCGAACGGGUGAGUAACACGUGAGUAACCUGCCCUUGACUUUGGGAUAACUUCAGGAAACUGGGGCUAAUACCGGAUAGGAGCUCCUGCUGCAUGGUGGGGGUUGGAAAGUUUCGGCGGUUGGGGAUGGACUCGCGGCUUAUCAGCUUGUUGGUGGGGUAGUGGCUUACCAAGGCUUUGACGGGUAGCCGGCCUGAGAGGGUGACCGGCCACAUUGGGACUGCGAUACGGCCCAGACGCCUACGGGAGGCAGAAGUGGGGAAUAUUGCACAAUGGGCGGAAGCCUGAUGCAGCAACGCCGCGUGCGGGAUGACGGCCUUCGGGUUGUAAACCGCUUUCGCCUGUGACGAAGCGUGAGUGACGGUAAUGGGUAAAGAAGCACCGGCUAACUACGUG
rnacentral:rRNA from 1 species